GGACUACUGGGGUAUCUAAUCCUGUUUGCUCCCCACGCUUUCGUGCAUGAGCGUCAGUACAGGCCCAGGGGGCUGCCUUCGCCAUCGAUGUUCCUCCUGAUAUCUACGCAUUUCACUGCUACACCAGGAAUUCCACCCCCCUCUGCCGUACUCCAGUCACACAGUCACAAACGCAGUUCCCAGGUUGAGCCCGGGGAUUUCACAUCUGUCUUAUGUAACCGCCUGCGCACGCUUUACGCCCAGUAAUUCCGAUUAACGCUCGCACCCUACGUAUUACCGCGGCUGCUGGCAC
rnacentral:rRNA from 1 species